rnacentral:rRNA from 1 species
GACGAACGCUGGCGGCGUGCUUAACACAUGCAAGUCGAACGGUAAGGCCCUUCGGGGUACACGAGUGGCGAACGGGUGAGUAACACGUGGGUGAUCUGCCCUGCACUUCGGGAUAAGCCUGGGAAACUGGGUCUAAUACCGGAUAGGACCACUGCCUGCAUGGGUGGUGGUGGAAAGCUUUUGCGGUGUGGGAUGGGCCCGCGGCCUAUCAGCUUGUUGGUGGGGUGAUGGCCUACCAAGGCGACGACGGGUGGCCGGCCUGAGAGGGUGACCGGCCACACUGGGACUGAGAUGCGGCCCGGACUCCUACGGGAGGGAGCAGUGGGGAAUAUUGCACAAUGGGCGCAAGCCUGAUGCAGCGACGCCGCGUGAGGGAUGACGGCCUUCGGGUUGUAAACCUCUUUCAGCACCGACGAAGCGCAAGUGACGGUAGGUGCAGAAGAAGGACCGGCCAACUACGUGCCAGCCGCCGCCGUAAAAC